rnacentral:rRNA from 1 species
GGGGGGGCGGUCUAUCUGCAGUCGAGCGACAGAUAAGGAGCUUGCUCCUUUGAAGUUAGCGGCGGACGGGUGAGUAACACGUGGGUAACCUACCUAUAAGACUGGAAUAACUUCGGGAAACCGGAGCUAAUGCCGGAUAACAUAUAGAACCGCAUGGUUCUAUAGUGAAAGAUGGUUUUGCUAUCACUUAUAGAUGGACCCGCGCCGUAUUAGCUAGUUGGUAAGGUAAUGGCUUACCAAGGCGACGAUACGUAGCCGACCUGAGAGGGUGAUCGGCCACACUGGAACUGAGACACGGUCCAGACUCCUACGGGAGGCAGCAGUAGGGAAUCUUCCGCAAUGGGCGAAAGCCUGACGGAGCAACGCCGCGUGAGUGAUGAAGGUUUUCGGAUCGUAAAACUCUGUUAUUAGGGAAGAACAAAUGCGUAAGUAACUGUGCGCAUCUUGACGGUACCUAAUCAGAAAGCCACGGCUAACUACGUGCCAGCAGCCGCGGUAAUACGUAGGUGGCAAGCGUUAUCCGGAAUUAUUGGGCGUAAAGCGCGCGUAGGCGGUUUCUUAAGUCUGAUGUGAAAGCCCACGGCUCAACCGUGGAGGGUCAUUGGAAACUGGGAAACUUGAGUGCAGAAGAGGAAAGUGGAAUUCCAUGUGUAGCGGUGAAAUGCGCAGAGAUAUGGAGGAACACCAGUGGCGAAGGCGACUUUCUGGUCUGUAACUGACGCUGAUGUGCGAAAGCG